rnacentral:rRNA from 1 species
UACAGAGGCCUCGAGCGUUAGGCGGAAUCACUGGGCUUAAAGCGUGUGUAGGCGGAUCGUUAAGUGCCUUGUGAAAUCCCACGGCUUAACUGUGGAACGGCUGGGCAUACUGGCGGUCUUGAGCCAUCUAGGGGCGACUGGAACAAACGGUGGAGCGGUGAAAUGCGUAGAGAUCGGAAAGAACACCAACGGCGAAAGCACUCUGCUGGGCCGACACUGACACUGAGAGACGAAAGCUAGGGGAGCAAACGGG